AGACAGCAGUAGCCGCGGUAAUACGGAGGGGGCUAGCGUUGUUCGGAAUUACUGGGCGUAAAGCGCACGUAGGCGGCUUUGUAAGUCAGAGGUGAAAGCCUGGAGCUCAACUCCAGAACUGCCUUUGAGACUGCAUCGCUUGAAUCCAGGAGAGGUCAGUGGAAUUCCGAGUGUAGAGGUGAAAUUCGUAGAUAUUCGGAAGAACACCAGUGGCGAAGGCGGCUGACUGGACUGGUAUUGACGCUGAGGUGCGAAAGCGUGGGGAGCAAACAGGAUUAGAUACCCCUGUAGUCCCUGUCUCUUAUAC
rnacentral:rRNA from 1 species